AGAGUUUGAUCCUGGCUCAGGAUGAACGCUGGCGGCGUGCUUAACACAUGCAAGUCGAACGAACCUUCGGGUUAGUGGCGGACGGGUGAGUAACGCGUGAGAAUCUGCCCUCAGGAGGGGGAUAACGGUUGGAAACGACCGCUAAUACCCCAUAUGCCUACUGGUGAAAUGAAUUUCGCCUGAGGAUGAGCUCGCGUCUGAUUAGCUAGUUGGUGAGGUAAUGGCUCACCAAGGCUUCGAUCAGUAGCUGGUCUGAGAGGAUGAUCAGCCACACUGGGACUGAGACACGGCCCAGACUCUUACGGGAGGCAGCAGUGGGGAAUUUUCCGCAAUGGGCGAAAGCCUGAUCGGAGCAACGCCGCGUGAGGGAUCGAAGGCCUCUGGGCUGUAAACCUCUUU
rnacentral:rRNA from 1 species